UUUGCUGAAGACAAGGGAAAUGAAUGCCAAAUGUUCAAUGACCUCACCGAGCUCCUCUCAAGGGCCCUGGCUCACCUGCGGGGCCCUGGCUACCAGCAAUGUCUGGGCUUCUUUAUAGUGGUCCUGGUUAAACCCCUGACCGUCUCUGGUCCCUCUCCACAACCACUGCUUCUCUGUGACACUGGAGUGGGCAUCUGUUUGCAAAGCCUGACAAGGCUGUCAAUAGGUCAGGCAUCAAAUGGUUCUCAAAGCCAUUAUCCUGAGUAUCCCAUCCUCCACCACAUACCUGUGCCUGCAUGGCUACCCACCAACAAAACUACCACGUGACUCUACCAGCCAGAGGGGCCUGUGGAUCCAGUGACCAACUGAUGAAAUCCAGGGAAGCAGCAUGGGGGAGGCACACUGAUAUUUGGCCUGCAUGGAUGUCUGUGUGAGGGUGUCGGAUCCCUGGAACUUAAGCUACAGACGGUUGUGUGCUGCCAUGUGGGUCCAGGGAAUCGAAACUCAGUCCUCUGGAAGAGAAAGCAGUGCGCUUAACUCCUGAGCCAUCUCUCCAACCCAGAAAGUAACUUUUAAUAAGAUCUAUCAGCAUGUAGCCUCCUUCUAUUUAGGAGAGGGCAAUCAUCCCUUGCAGCCCAGGCUGGCUUCAAGGAUGACCUUAAUUUUUAUGUUCCUUCCUAGAUUUCCCAAGUACUCUGUGUGUGUGUGUGUGUGUGUGUGUGUGUGUGUGUGUGUGUGU